UACGGAGGGUGCGAGCGUUGUCCGGAAUCACUGGGCGUAAAGGGCGCGUAGGCGGCGCGGAUAGUCAUCGGUGAAAGUUCAGGGCUCAACUCUGAAUCGGCCGGUGAUACUCCCGUGCUCGAGCACUGUAGAGGCAGGUGGAAUUCCGGGUGUAGCGGUGGAAUGCGUAGAGAUCCGGAAGAACACCGGUGGCGAAGGCGGCCUGCUGGGCAGUAGCUGACGCUGAUGCGCGACAGCGUGGGGAGCAAACAGG
rnacentral:rRNA from 1 species